GAUGAACGCUGGCGGCGUGCCUAACACAUGCAAGUCGAACGGAAAGGCCACAGCUUGCUGUGGUACUCGAGUGGCGAACGGGUGAGUAACACGUGGGUGAUCUGCCCUGUACUUCGGGAUAAGCUUGGGAAACUGGGUCUAAUACCGGAUAGGAAUCACAUGUGGGUGUGUGGUUGGAAAGCUUUUGCGGUAUGGGAUGAGCUCGCGGCCUAUCAGCUUGUUGGUGGGGUAAUGGCCUACCAAGGCGUCGACGGGUAGCCGGCCUGAGAGGGUGUACGGCCACAUUGGGACUGAGAUACGGCCCAGACUCCUACGGGAGGCAGCAGUGGGGAAUAUUGCACAAUGGGCGCAAGCCUGAUGCAGCGACGCCGCGUGGGGGAUGACGGCCUUCGGGUUGUAAACUCCUUUCGUCAGGGACGAAGCGAAAGUGACGGUACCUGGAUAAGAAGCACCGGCUAACUACGUG
rnacentral:rRNA from 1 species